CCGCGGGAAUUCCAUAACAUCGAGACAGAGCUUGAUACUGAAUGGACAGAACAUGCGGUGCAGAUCAGACGGAGAAGGCUGGUGGGCUCGCACCGAGGCUGCGCUUCAUAAGCGAACAGUUGCAAGAGAUUCUAAGUGCUCCUUGCCUCCUUUUUUGGAGAGGGACCUGGAUGCAGACGGGCGGGCGAGACCUCCAGAAGAGGCAUCUCGGCAGCUGGCAGGAAAUCACGUGGCCUCAGCAGCAGAGGUUUAAAAUGCUGGGAUCAAUUUGGCCCCGACCAUUAAAGAUGUCUGUCCGUUUUAACAUUCUGUGUUCUACUUCACGGCGGGGAAAAAAUGACAGGAGGACCAGCAGCCGCUGCUGAGGUCACGUGAUUUCCUGUCCCUCUAUAUCCGGCAUUCCUGGCAGAGCUAAGCCUUGCACUCAUAUUGAUUUGAAACUGGGGGGAAAAGAAACGGUGUCUUCAUGUUUGCUGUGGAUCAUGGAUCAUCUUCCUCUGUGGAUGUUGUUUUUCUCACACUAAACUAAGAGAAUGGCAGGAAGCAAACUCCCCUCAAGACAUAAUAUUUCUACACAAGCUGAUUGUGCAGACACCGGGCGGAGGACUGAAGCGCAGAGCGCACAUGUAGGGAAGCGCUGGAAUAAACCUCCCAUGCCCCCGUUUCUGUUCAGUUUCAAGGACUUUUUGUUACUGUUCUACAGCACAAUAAAAAGUAUGGAUAAACAAACA